rnacentral:RNase_P_RNA from 1 species
ACAGUAGGCCGGUUUGUCGCUGGCUGCCUUCGGGCAGAAAGAGGAAAGUCCGGGCAACAUAGAGCAUCGUACUUCUUAAUGGGAAGCUGUUCGUGAGGGCAGAGUUAAGGUAGCAGAAAAUAACCGCCUUCUUUUGGAAGGUAAGGGUGAAAAGGUGAGGUAAGAGCUCACCGGUCUGUGCAGCAAUGUGCAGAGCCGUACCACUUGCGAGUUGUAAGACCAUGUAUACCGGCGUAUGUAGGACUGCUCGUCCGAUGUCGGGGGGUAGGUCGCUAGAGCCUCUUGGUGACAAUUGGCGUAGAUAAAUGGCAAGCACCUUGCUAUGCAAGGGACAGAACCCGGCUUAUAGGCCUGCUGUGUUU